ACGGGACUGGCCGAGCCCGCCGCUGCCGGGCCCCUGCGAGCCAGCGGCACCAUAGCUUGUGAAGAAAGCUCCAAGUCCAGAUUGGCCUGGGCCAAAAUACUCCAGACCCUCAGAUUGCAGUAUGCUCCCAGUCCCCAAGAGAAAAGAAGAUCAAGUCUAAGGCCAAGGCUUCAACGAGGAGGGAUCCUGCGGAGGGGAGUGAAGAGGAGGACGGGGUGCACAGUGAAGAGACUCUAAGUGAGCAUGGGGUGGGCGUGCCAGGCAGGGCUGGCUGCCACCUGAGAUCCGUGCCAGGGACCAUGACAAAGAGCAGCCGACUUAGACAGUUCUGGUAGGUCCCUCUGACAAGCGGCUGGGUGACGUCCAUCCUACAGAAGUGAGGAAACAGUCCACGCGUUUCAGCAGGAGAAUAAAACACUCCGUACACAUACACUGUCUUUUGACUUGUGGUUUGCCAAGCAGAGGAGCACUGCUGUCAACGACAUCAAGAAAUGCUGGAAGAUGCUUGGGAAUACUUUAUGCUUCCAAAAAGGGACUUUGACAGAAAGGAAGAGGGAAAGAGAAUACAAAGUGAAAAGACAGGUGAUGAUCAAAGAUGGGACUAUCUAGUGUCUGAGAAGGAGCUGGACCAGAUAAAGAAACACAUCCACCAAGCAGAGCGAGCGAGAGGCCUCCGAGACCACAAGUAUCGGCAGCCUCCUCAGAAAAGUCCAUGUGAGAUACUUUCCCCCAAAACAUUCACCCAGGAGCAUGAAAAGACGGAAAACUUCCAGAGAAGACCCAGAGCUAAAACCAAACAGCACCAGGUGGCCUGGUUGCAGGAGCAGAUGCAGAGACAUCGAGAGCGCAUGAUCCGAGGGCGAGAGCUCGCCGAGCAGAGAAAGCACAAACGAGAUGCUCAGAAACUUGCCGGCCAGGCUCCUCCUCUCCUAAAACCUCAGGUGAGGAAAGAGGAAGUGAAGGAAUUCGAGCAGAUCACAGCCUAUCCCCUCGUACAGCCUCGCUGGGAGGCACCCAUAGAAGUGACUGUUCUGAGGGAAAAGUCCAGAGAGAGCAACGUUAAAAAACCCCUCCGAAGACAGCUCUUGAGGAUACCACCGUUUUUGAGAAGUCAACUAGAAAAGAAAAUAAAAACUUUCUAGGUUACUGUAUUUCUUGUUUAGGCCAGCAGACUUUCAUAGCUGUUAUGCAGUAAAAUCCCAUAUCCUAA